CCUACGGGAGGCAGCAGUGGGGAAUAUUGCACAAUGGGGGAAACCCUGAUGCAGCGACGCCGCGUGAGUGAGGAAGUAUUUCGGUAUGUAAAGCUCUAUCAGCAGGGAAGAAAAUGACGGUACCUGACUAAGAAGCCCCGGCUAACUACGUGCAAGCAGCCGCGGUAAUACGGAGGGGGCCAGCGUUAUCCGGAUUUACUGGGUGUAAAGGGGGCGUAUACGGAAUUGCUAGUCUGAUGGGAAAAUCCGGGGGCCAACCCCGGAACUGCAUUGGAUACUGGAUUUCUAGAGUGCCGGCGAGGCAAGUGGAAUAACUGGUGUAGCGGUGAAAUGCGUAGAUAUCAGGAGGAACACCAGUGGCGAAGGCGGCUUGCUGGACGAUGACUGACGUUGAGGCUCGAAAGCGUGGGGAGCAAACAGGAUUAGAUACCCGUGUAGUC
rnacentral:rRNA from 1 species